rnacentral:rRNA from 1 species
AUGGACGCGGAGCAGCUCCUGCCGUACAUCUACUCCUGCCUCCCCGAGCCGCCAGUCUCCCACACCGCCCGCCUCGCCGCCCGCCGUACCGCCCCCUACCACGGCGUCGACCGCAUCAGCGGCCUCUCCGACGCGCUCCUCCACGACAUCGUCUCCCGCCUCUCCUUCAAGGAAGCCGCGCGCACCGCCGUGCUCGCGACGCGCUGGCGCCGGGUCUGGCUCUCCGCGCCGCUCGUCCUCGUCGAUACCCACCUCCUGGAACACUGGCCCCCGACCCGCGCCGACGCGCCGGCCGUCUCCGCCGCUGUGUCGCGCGCCCUGGCGGCGCAUCCCGGGCCCUUCCGCUGCGUCCACCUCCUCUGCACCCCCAUGGACGCGUGCCACGCCAAGCUCAAGCGCUGGCUCCGUCUCAUGGCCGCCAAGGGCGUCCAGGAGCUCGUCCUCGUCAACCGCCCCUGCCCGCGCGAGGUGAAUCUCCCUGGCACGCUCUUCCGCAUCGCCACCCUCACCCGCCUCUACGUCGGCCUCUGGAAGUUCCCUGAUGUGGCCUGCCUCGGCGACGCCUCCUUCCCCAACCUCCGCGAGCUCGGCAUCUUCAGCGUCGUCAUGGAGGACGGGGAUGUCGAAGCCAUCGUCGCCAGGAGCCCCGUUCUGGAGACCCUCAACAUUCAAGGGAGCAUGAAGGGGCUGGGCCUCCGCCUCGUCAGCCAGAGCCUCCGGUGCGUGCAGAUCUGCGAUUCCGUGAUGGAGAUCGUCGUCGUGGUGGAUACCCCGCGCCUCAAGCGGCUCAUCCUGUACAAGGUUCGGGGAUCUCUAAACUCUGCCAGUGGCUUGCGCACGGCGAUCAACAUUGGCAAUGCCCCCAACCUGAAACGAUUCGGGUACCUGGAGCCAGGAAAGUACGCCCUUGAGGCCGGCGGCACCAUCAUCAUGCCAAGCGCAAACACUAUGUUCACAAGCGUGACUACGCUCAGCCUGAAUGUGCGUUUUGGAGUCCAUGAUGAUGCCAAGAUGUUGGCCACUUUCCUGAAGUGCUUUCCUAAUGUGUCGAGUCUGCAUAUCAGGUGUGAAAGAUGUGAUGAACCCACUGGGAAGCUCGAACUUAAGUUGUGGGAUGAGGUUGGCCCUAUUUGA